rnacentral:rRNA from 1 species
UACGUAGGGUGCGAGCGUUGUCCGGAAUUAUUGGGCGUAAAGAGCUCGUAGGCGGCUUGUCGCGUCGGAUGUGAAAGCCCGGGGCUUAACUCCGGGUCUGCAUUCGAUACGGGCUAGCUAGAGUGUGGUAGGGGAGAUCGGAAUUCCUGGUGUAGCGGUGAAAUGCGCAGAUAUCAGGAGGAACACCGGUGGCGAAGGCGGAUCUCUGGGCCAUUACUGACGCUGAGAAGCGAAAGCAUGGGGAGCGAACAGG